rnacentral:sRNA from 1 species
AGUUCGACGGGGUCCACCGCUCGCGUCGUCAUCAGGUAGUUCCGCAGGACGAUGGCGUGCCGGAACUC